AGAAUCAACGCUGGCGGCGUGCCUAACACAUGCAAGUCGAACGAGAAAGUGGGAGCAAUCCCACGAGUAAAGUGGCGCACGGGUGAGUAACACGUGACUAACCUACCCUUGAGUGGGGGAUAACCUAGGGAAACCUGGGCUAAUACCGCAUAAUACCUACGGGUCAAAGGAGCAAUUCGCUUAAGGAGGGGGUCGCGGCAGAUUAGUUAGUUGGCGGGGUAAUGGCCCACCAAGACAGUGAUCUGUAUCCGGCCUGAGAGGGCGCACGGACACACUGGAACUGAAACACGGUCCAGACUCCUACGGGAGGCAGCAGUGGGGAAUUUGCGCAAUGGGGGAAACCCUGACGCAGCAACGCCGCGUGGAGGAUGAAGCCCCUUGGGGCGUAAACUCCUUUCGAUCGGUAAGAUAAUGACGGUACCGGAAGAAGAAGCCCCGGCUAACUUCGCGCCAGCAGCCGC
rnacentral:rRNA from 1 species